UGGUGGAGCGAUUUGUCUGGUUAAUUCCGAUAACGAACGAGACUCUGGCCUAUUAAAUAGUUCGCCGACUCCGAUCUGUCGGCGUUAACUUCUUAGAGGGACAAGUGGCUUUUAGCCACGCGAGAUUGAGCAAUAACA
rnacentral:rRNA from 1 species